AGGGACGAAAGAUACCAGAGGGACAGUCAAACUCAUAGAUCGAAAACAAACUGACAACGCCAUGGCCAAAAAUAAAAAGACAAACAGACAAAUAAUAGUACAGAUGACACAACAUAGAAAACUAAAGACUAAGCAACACGAACCCCACCAAAAACUGGGGGUGAUCUCAGGUGCUCCGGAAGGGUAAGCAGAUCCUGCUCCACAUGUGGCACCCGUCGUGUUGCUUAUGUUAUUACAAAUCCAGUAAAUAGUCUAAUUCGGUAGGUCACAUUCGUGAAAAGAGAAG